GAUGAAGAACGCAGCGAAAUGCGAUAAGUAAUGUGAAUUGCAGAAUUCAGUGAAUCAUCGAAUCUUUGAACGCAUCUUGCGCUCCUUGGUAUUCUGAGGAGCAUGCCUGUUUGAGUGUCAUUUCACCACUCAAGCCUCGCUUGGUAUUGGGCAACGCGGUCCGCCGCGUGCCUCAAAUCGACCGGCUGGGUCUUCUGUCCCCUAAGCGUUGUGGAAACUAUUCGCUAAAGGGUGUUCGGGAGGCUACGCCGUAAAACAACCCCAUUUCUAAGGUUGACCUCGGAUCAGGUAGGGAUACCCGCUGAACUUAAGCAUAUCAAUAAGCGGAGGA
rnacentral:misc_RNA from 1 species